rnacentral:rRNA from 1 species
UCUUCGGAGUUCAGUGGCGGACGGGUGAGUAACGCGUGAGAAUCUGCCUAGAGGAUGGGGACAACCACGGGAAACUGUGGCUAAUACCCAAUGAGCGGAGACGUUAAAGAUUUAUCGCCUCUAGAGGAGCUCGCGUCUGAUUAGCUAGUUGGUGGGGUAAAAGCCUACCAAGGCGACGAUCAGUAGCUGGUCUGAGAGGACAACCAGCCACACUGGGACUGAGACACGGCCCAGACUCCUACGGGAGGCAGCAGUGGGGAAUUUUCCGCAAUGGGCGAAAGCCUGACGGAGCAAUACCGCGUGAGGGAGGAAGGCUCUUGGGUCGUAAACCUCUUUUCUCAGGGAAGAAGAAAGUGACGGUACCUGAGGAAUCAGCCUCGGCUAACUCCGUGCCAGCAGCCGCGGUAAUACGGAGGAGGCAAGCGUUAUCCGGAAUUAUUGGGCGUAAAGCGUCCGUAGGUGGCUCUUCAAGUCUGCUGUCAAAGAGUGGGGCUUAACUCCAGAAAGGCAGUGGAAACUGAAAGGCUAGAGAUCCGUAGGGGUAGAGGGAAUUCCCGGUGUAGCGGUGAAAUGCGUAGAGAUCGGGAAGAACAUCGGUGGCGAAAGCGCUCUACUGGACGGUAUCUGACACUGAGGGACGAAAGCUAGGGGAGCGAAUGGGAUUAGAUACCCCAGUAGUCCUAGC